rnacentral:rRNA from 1 species
GAUGAACGCUGGCGGCGUGCUUAACACAUGCAAGUCGAACGAAGCAUUUGCGACAGAUUUUUUCGGAAUGAAGUUGCUUAUGACUGAGUGGCGGACGGGUGAGUAACGCGUGGGUAACCUGCCUUGUACUGGGGGAUAGCAGCUGGAAACGGCUGGUAAUACCGCAUAAGCGCACAAUGUUGCAUGACAUGGUGUGAAAAACUCCGGUGGUAUAAGAUGGACCCGCGUCUGAUUAGCUAGUUGGUGAGAUAACAGCCCACCAAGGCGACGAUCAGUAGCCGACCUGAGAGGGUGACCGGCCACAUUGGGACUGAGACACGGCCCAGACUCCUACGGGAGGCAGCAGUGGGGAAUAUUGCACAAUGGAGGAAACUCUGAUGCAGUGACGCCGCGUGAGUGAAGAAGUAAUUCGUUAUGUAAAGCUCUAUCAGCAGGGAAGAUAGUGACGGUACCUGACUAAGAAGCUCCGGCUAAAUACGUG